AACGGUUUGGCUGAGUCGUUUAAGGUGCUAGAUUUAGGAUUUGGUUCAAAAUGGCAUGGGUUCAAAUCCUACAAUUGUCA
rfam:Zostera marina strain Finnish scaffold_8, whole genome shotgun sequence.